rnacentral:rRNA from 1 species
UACGAAGGGGGCUAGCGUUGCUCGGAAUCACUGGGCGUAAAGGGCGCGUAGGCGGAUCUUUAAGUCGGGGGUGAAAGCCCAGGGCUCAACCCUGGAAUUGCCUUCGAUACUGGAGAUCUUGAGACCGGAAGAGGUAAGUGGAACUGCGAGUGUAGAGGUGAAAUUCGUAGAUAUUCGCAAGAACACCAGUGGCGAAGGCGGCCGACUGGUCCGGUUCUGACGCUGAGGCGCGAAAGCGUGGGGAGCAAACAGG